rnacentral:misc_RNA from 1 species
GUAUUGAUUUAUAAAACAUUCAAUUUUACUUUAACAGGGUGUAUAAAAUCAUAGACAAUAAAUAUCACUGUCUACAGAAUGUGCACAGGUGGGUGAAAGUCAGAGUGCACAUGCAAGUGUAAGUUGCCAGCACAUCCUUUUGAGAAUCAUUAAUGAUCCUUCCGCAGGUUCACCUACGGAAA